UAGGGAGGUCAGGGCCAGGAGCCCCCCCCCCCCCGAGCCCAGGAUAACUCUUGAAGUUGGGGGGCA
rfam:Rattus norvegicus chromosome 14, whole genome shotgun sequence.